GGGGUUGUACAUGCCAUGUGGUGAUCAGCAGAAGCGACAUUUCACACUAGGAUCCUGAGAAGCAGCAUCCUAUAUUAUUUAUUACCGCAUGGUGAUGUGAGAAAUUUACAAGCAUGUUCGGUUUCGAUAAUCAAACAAAUUGAUCGAGGUACUGAUCCACGGUCAUGUAUUUGACAUCGGGGUAGAGCUCCGAAGCUUCCACUCCAAAUGAUGACUCAAUCUCAAAGUUCGUUUGGUCUCCUUUCACAAAGACAGAAUGGGAUAAUGCCAAUAUCAUGUUGUGUGGAACCGCCGCCUCUACAAUAUGAUUGGACAAGCUUUAAAUGUCAGAGAGAACAGAGAGGAUUUCAGGCACUUAAAUCCAAUAGAAAUGCAUCCCUGACCUUGAAUGUUCUUCAGAACCUGUUCCUCUGGAACAUACACCCUCUCUAGGGUCUGCCGNNNNNNNNNNNNNNNNNNNNNNNNNNNNNNNNNNNNNNNNNNNNNNNNNNNNNNNNNNNNNNNNNNNNNNNNNNNNNNNNNNNNNNNNNNNNNNNNNNNNAGGUCCUUGGAUCAUCCACAGCUUUGAUGGUAUAGGUGCCGAUGUCAUCCUCCUUGUUAAACACCGCUACAUAUUGACAGGGAGAGUUUUACAAUUUGGCUAAUAAAUAAAUCACAGAGCCAUCGAUCUUCCUAGGGCUACUUUCGGCUCACAUUGAAGAAGAAUUAUCUUAUCAAACAGAUUCAUUAGACAACAUGCAGACAAAUGCAUUCAUAUGUUCUUUUCCCAAACAAAUACAUAAAGAGAACCUUCGUGAUCUGCCCGCUAGGUGGUAUUAUGCCAAGAUAAACCACAACACAUUCAUAUCACAUAUUAGUCUCUGAAAUUGAAGACUAAUGGAUGUAAGAGUCCCAUUAUCUCCAGACAAGGACGUUACCCUGAAAUUAUCAAGCUUCAAGAAUUGCCUCUCACUUUGAUCACUACUGUAAUUAAUUCGUUGUUAAUGUACAAAAAAAAUAUUAACUAAUUAAAAUGCGCAUUUCAAUGAAUUGCUUCUUACCUUUUGCAUUUCCAUCCCCUAAGAUGACAACUUUAUCUCUAGGGGGAGCUGUAGCCUCGGGCUGUGACAAUGUUGGAAGGUAGUAACUUCCAAAAGAGUUAGAAGCCACAUAUGUAUAAGGGAUUCCCUCAGCCUCAACAAGGCGGCGGAUCUUGGCUUUGAUAGCAUAUCCAGUUUUUGCUGGCUCCACAGCAUGGACACGAUCCACAUCAGUUCCAAACUCUGAAGGCAAGAAUCUCUAAAUAGAAAAUUAAUUGAUUCAGAAGAGGCAUUUUUAUUAGAAAGCAACAAAAAACUAGAGUGCAUUCCCCUCAUCCAACAAAUUUACAUGAGUUAUGGCAAAAAGAGAAACCAAAUUUAUAUGAGACUGAAUUUCACUUUUUUCUUCAAUAUGUGACUAGAACAUAGUGACAAUAAAAACAAACAAACUUAUAUGAGACUAUAUUUCAUUUUUUUUUUCAAUAUGUGACUAUAACAGAGUAAAAAUUAUUAUAAAUGAAUCAAUACUAGCAAUUAAGGUGUUGUUAGGUAAUGCUCCGGGAAACUUUUUUUUUGGUUUUUUUUUUCCUAGGCACAAAAUUAGAACAGAAACGCAUUUGGUAAUUUUUUAUUCCUAGGAACAAAUUAAAAAAAAACAAAACAAAUAAUAAUUAUUUUUUGUUUGUCUUUUUUGUUUUUAGGAACAAGUUAAGAAACAAGCAUUUUCUCUUUUCUUUUCUUCUUUUUCUUUUCCUCUCUUCUUCUCCUUAGCCGGUAGUUGGCCUUGGCAAUGGCUGGCGACUGGCCAAACGAGGCCUGACAACCUCGCCGAACCCUCGCCAGCCCCUGGUGAGGUCACCCCAAGCUCAUCGAUUGCUAGCGAGGCCCCCCUUAACCUUGCCCAACCACUGUGAGGUUGGCAAUGCCUAGGUGGGCAAUGCCGACCUUGUGGUGGUCGAGCGAGGUUGAGCCUCGCAGGUCGCCUCGUCAGUCGCCGGCCAACCAUGGUCAAGGCCGACAAUUGACUAGAGGAAGGAAAUGAAAAGGAAAAAAAGAAAAAUGUAAUAAAAUUAUUAAUAAAUNNNNNNNNNNNNNNNNNNNNNNNNNNNNNNNNNNNNNNNNNNNNNNNNNNNNNNNNNNNNNNNNNNNNNNNNNNNNNNNNNNNNNNNNNNNNNNNNNNNNUAGUGAAAUCCAGCCAGUGGGCUGUCAGUGAAGAAGAGUGGAUGUAGGUUUGGAACAAGCCGAACCACUAUAAACCUCGUGUUGAAUUUUCUCUUUCCUACUCCUUUUACUUUGUCAACAGUUCGUUCUAUUAACAAAAGAGGAGUCUUCUUUUUAUUGUCUGCCUAGUAUUGCUUUCAUAUCUCGGAAAAUUAUUUAUAUACCUAUUCACCCCCCUCUAGGUACUUAUACUAGCUAUAUCAAUUGGUAUCAGAGCCCGUGUACUCAUUUUUUUUUUGAAGUGUUUUACUUCAGAGUUAAAGAUCCAUGGCUAGUAUGCUAGCUCCAAGGCUGGUGGAAGGGCAAAGCAAUACCAGACCACCCUACUUUGAUGGAAAGGAUUACAACAUCUUGAAAAACAAGAUGAAAGCAUUCCUACGAUCAAAGGAUCCUCUGGAAUGGGACGUUGUAGAAAAAAGGAAUUACUCCUAAAGCUGCAUCUGUCUCAGAGAGAGGAAAAGAAAUUGUUGAGUCAAGAGAAAUGACUCGAGAAGAGAUAAUCAAGAGACAAGCACUCGAUGCAAAAGCAAUUUAUUCUUUAUAUUGUGCUUUGUCACCAAUUGAAUAUAACAUAAUAUCUUCUUGUGUUACAGCAAAAGAAGUCUGGGAUAAAUUACAUAUCACCUAUGAAGGAACAGAUCGAGUGAAGGAGACCAGAAUCAACAUUCUCCUCGGUCAAUAUGAAGCCUUCAAAAUGAAAUCAGGAGAAUCUAUAAUUGACAUGUUUAGCCGUUUUACAGAUAUCGUCAAUGGUCUUGAAAAUCAAGGUCAACCAAUUUCUAAUCCCAUGAAGGUAAACAAGUUACUGCGAGGACUCUCCAAGGAUUGGAAUCAUAUAAAGACUUCAAUAAGAGAGACACAAAGAAUCAUGCCACUAUCUGUCAAUGAGUUGGUUGGAACUCUUCAGUCUUAUGAAGUGGAGCGAAUCAAUGAAGAUGAAGAUCCUAAAGGUAAGAAAUCCAUUGCAUUAAAAUCCAAUGAUGAUUCUGAUGUUACAGAUUCUGAAGACGAUAUGGACGAUGAGGAACUUGCUCUUAUGAUAAGAAGAUUCAGAAAGCUGAACAGAAAAGGAAGAAGAUUCAAUCCAAGGAAACAAAGCUUUCAAAAGCAACAAACCAAGUCUGUUGAUGAUGAUGAAUCAAACAAAGAUGUAGUCUACUUUGAAUGUAAGAAAAAUGGACACAUCAGACCCAACUGUCCCCUUUUGAGAAAGAAGAAAGGAAAAGCUGAAAAAUAUCGAAAAGCUCUUAAAGCAGAAACUUGGAGUGACACAGAGUGUGAAGAAAGCGAUGAUGAUUAUGCCAACAUAUGUCUGAUGGCACAAUCAGACUCGGAUUCAAACUCUGAAACAGACUCAGACUUAGACAGUGAAAUAGGAGAAGAGAGUGUUUCAUGCUCUUCUGCCUCUUGAUCUGCUCUCUCUUCUUCUUCUUCGAACCUCUCCUCCUCUGUUCUUUCUUCAGCUCUUCUCUCUUCUUCUUCUUUUUCCUCUACUUCUUGCUCCUCUGCUUCUCUUUCUCCUUCUUCUCUCUCUUCUUCUCCUCUUUCUUCUUCUUCUUUCUCUUCUUCUUCUCUUGCUUCUUCUCUCUCUCCUUCUCUUUCUUUCGCCAGUUCUUCUCUUUCCUCUGCUUCCUUCUCUUGUCGUUCCAUUGAUUCUGGAACAGAACAACUUAGCUUUUUCAAGGCUAUAGCAGAAAUGGUGAGAUCAUCCUCAUCAUCCUCAUCCUCAAUGAAGAGAGCCCUUCUCUUUUUGGAUGAAGCAACCAUUGGCUCCUUCCCUUUUCUUUUCGAGCCAGAAGGACCAUGAUGAGUUUUGACAGGGGUUUUCUCCUUGAACUUCUCCAAUGCCUUGUUAAGUUCUUUCAGACGCAUUUUCUGCACCAUUUUCAGUCCUACCACCAUUUGGUCACACGGUCAAACACAGAGAAAUUGUGGAGGCUGAAUAUUCAAGUGUCUGAAUAUUUUUGUCACAAGACCUUGAUAAGGAAGUUGUCCCUUGUCCUUCACCAGUGCUCUAUACAUGUGGAAUAGAAUGGUGUGAGGAAGAGAAAACUUUUUCCCAGCAUUGAUUGCGUACAUCAACUUUGCCUCUGAGUUGGAAACAUCAGUCUUGGAAGUUGAUUUGGGUCUAAGGUAAUUGAUCACAAUCUUGUGAAGAAUGAUGUUGUUCGCACGCAUCCUUGAGUAGGUAAUCCUUCCCUCUGUCAUUCUGUCUUUGACAAGUUCCAAUGUUGUGCGAGCAAUAGAGGCAUUGAUUGGUUGAUACCUUCCUCUUUCAACCCCAAUCACAUCCGCCAGCAUAUUCACAUCAACAACAAAGUCUUGAUCUCGGACACUAAAAGAUAUUCUAUUCGCAUCCAAGAAACUAAGAUUUGAAUAGAAAUAUGCAGUCAAUUGUGCAUAACCCUCUGUGGUGUCAGUACAGAACUGUUCCAAUUGAAGAGAAUUGAACUUUUCUCUUAAGUUCACAUUCACAGCAUCUAGGAAGUCAAAAUCUACACUCCUAGGGUUUAUCACCCCACGCUUCAACAAUCUUGAGUAUAGAUCCUUAUGUUCCUUCGAUGUAAACAAAUCUAUCAUUUUCCCUCGAAUAUUCGCUGCAACACCCAUUCUCGAUUGAAAUUGGCUGUACAGUUUAUCAUCAUCAUUCCCAUAUGUUGGAUUAAAACCACCGACACGCGGAUCACUUGGAAUGUUCGCAAGGGCUUGUUCUGCCAUCCCUCUUGGAGCAAUUCCCAAGUUUUCCAUUUUUCGCAAGAAUAUGUACUCAUUUCCAUGUCCCUUAUCCUUAAGGAACUCAUCGAUGUAUUUCAAUGGAGUACCAGUACUCUUUAAAGCACGAUAAAGCUUAUAAAUAAAGCCGGGCUUUUGAAUUCUUACAGGUUCGACGUCUUCAAUGAUUUCUUCUUCCUGUUGAUGACCCACACCCUGUGGACUAGAUGGUGGAGAAUGACGCGGUUGAGAAUGUUGCGGACUUGGUGAAUCUUCUUCCCCUGUAAGAUCAAAAUAAGUAGGCCCCUCACUCGAUCGCUGUGGUCCCCUGCUUGCUAUCCUCGAAGACUUUCUUGAAGACGACAUCUUUCUUUGUCUUUGAAAGAUUCUUUGCUUGACUUUCCCAAGAAAAAUGACAACUUUUUCGAAGAUUAAACAAUGGAGGAAGGCACGAAUGGAAGAUUGAGACUUUUUAGGGUUUUGGAGUUUUGCAGAGAGGAAUCGAUUGUAAAUAACCAAGCCAAGAAACCAAACGUCAUAAAGGAAAGUGAAAAAGUGCCUUUUUUAAACUUAACUGCCUUAAAAAAAAAACUUCCAUAGAAAUUGAAUUUUUGAAAAGGCAAAUUUGCACUUUUCACGGAAAUUUAAAAUCAAUUACCAAUGAUCGUACCUUUUCGAGAUAUAAUAAAUAAGAGAGAAUAACUUACAGUCAAGACCCACGAUUUAUUGAGUCUGAGAGUCUAAGAGUCUGAGAGUCUGAGAGUCUCUAGACUUUAACUUCUUCAAGCUUAAAGAUGUUGAGACUAGAACGGAUGAAUUCAAAUUGAUUUUUCUCCAGAGGCUUUGUGAAUAUAUCCGCCAGUUGGUUCUUUGAGUCAACAAACUGAAUCGAAAUUUCUCCAUUUUGAACAUAAUCUCUAAUGAAGUGAUGUCGAAUCUCUAUAUGUUUUGCUCUUGAAUGAAGAAUAGGAUUUUUGGUAAGAUUGAUUGCGCUGGUGUUGUCACAGUUAAUUUCGGUGCAUGAAUCUUCAAUUCCAAAGUCUCUUAGCUGUUGUUUUAUCCACAAAAUUUGUGAACAACAACUUCCGAGAGCUACAUACUCUACUUCUACUAUAGAAAGAGCUACUGUACUUUGCUUUCUUGAAAACCAAGAUACUGUUCUGUUUCCAAGUAACGGACAGGUACCCGAUGUGCUCUUUCUAUCAACUCUGCAACAGGCUAGAUCUGCGUUUGAGUAUCAAAGAAGAGUGAAGUCUCCCUUUUUGGGAUACCACAGACCGAUACUUGAGGUUGAAGCAAUGUAUUUGAUAAUACGCUUCGCAGCACUUAGAUGAGAUUCUUUAGGGUCUGCUUGAAAUCUAGCACAAAUGCAAACAAUAAACAAAAUGUCAAGUCUAGAAGCAGUAAGAUAAAGAAGUGAACCGAUGAUACUUCUAUAUAGCUUCUGGUCAACUUUCUUUCCUCCUUCAUCUUUGUCUAUCUUCAAGGAACUUGACAUUGGUAUAUCAAUCUUUUUGCAAUUUUCCAGUCCAAACUUCUUGACAAGAUCAUUAGCAUAUUUUUCUUGAUAAAUAAAAGUUCCUUCCUUCAAUCGUUUCACUUGAAGUCCAAGAAAGAAGGUUAAUUCUCCCAUCAUACUCAUUUCAAAUUCAUCCAGCAUAGACUUAGAGAAUUUCUUGCACAGACUUUCAUUAGAGGAUCCAAAAAUAAUAUCAUCAACAUAUAUUUGAACUAGCAAGAAACUUUUGCUUUCUCUUUUGAUAAAUAGAGUAGUAUCUACUUUACCUUUGACAAAGCCGGUUUGAAUCAAAAACUUACUUAGCCUGUCAUACCAAGCUCGAGGUGCUUGCUUUAAUCCAUACAAGGCCUUUUUCAGUCUGAAUACUGAGUCUGGCUUCUUUGGAUCUUCAAACCCAGGUGGCUGUUCCACAUAGACUUCCUCAUGGAUAAAUCCAUUUAGGAAAGCACUUUUGACGUCCAUUUGGAAUAACCUGAAAUUUUUAUAACAAGCAAAAGCAAGUAGUAAUCGAAUUGCUUCUAACCUUGCUACUGGUGUGUAAGUCUCAUCGUAGUCUAUCCCUUCCUCUUGAGUAUAUCCCUUGGCCAUGAGUCUUGUUUUGUUUCUUACAACUUUGCCAUUCUCGUUCAUCUUGUUCUUGAAAACCCAUUUAGCUCCAACAAUAGAUUUACCUUUUGGUUUAGGAGUCAAUUCCCAGACAUCAUUAAUGCUGAAUUGUCUGAGUUCUUCUUACAUAGCUUCAAUCCAGCUUUCAUCAGAUAAAGCUUCUUCUAUGCUUUUGGGUUCUACUUCAGAAAUAAGAGCCACAUCAUUAGACUUUUCGCGCCUUUUGGAUCUUGUGCGAAUUCCUUCAUUAAUGUCGCCAAUAAUAAGAUCUUUGGGAUGACUGGACUUAUGCUUCCAGUUACUGGUUGGUUCGUCAGGUUGAUGAGCACUUCCUUCAAUUGAAUCUUCAAUAACCGUUUGUUGCUGGUCUUUCAGAGUCUGGUCUGCUUCUUGAGAUUUAGACUUUGUAGAGUCUGGAGCAAGUUCAGAUUCUUCGAGAUGAGUCUGAAUAGAUUCAUUUUGCAUAGAAUCCUAGAACUUGAUAUUCAUUGAUUCUUCCACAGAUUGACUUUUCUUGUUAUAGACUCUGUAGGCUUUGCUUGAGGUAGAAUAUCCAAGGAAGAUGCCUUCGUCUGAUUUUUCUUCAAACUUACCAACUCGAUCAUUUGCAUUUUUCAAUAUAAAGCAUUUGCAUCCAAAUAUAUGAAAAUAUGAAACAAUAGACUUUUUUCCUUUGAAUAAUUCAUAGGGGGUUUUAUUUAGAAUCGGCCUUAGAAAAACUCUAUUGAUAAUAUAACAUGCUGUUGAAACAGCUUCAGCCCAAAAUCGUGAAGAGACGUUACUUUCAAUUAGGAGAGUUCUAGCCAUUUCUUGAAGAGAUCUAUUCUUUCUUUCCACAACUCCAUUUUGCUCUGGAGUCUAUGGAGAGGAAAACACAUGCUGAAAACCCGAUUCAUCACAAAAUUUUGUAAAUUCUUGAUUUUCAAAUUCGCCUCCAUGGUCUGUUCUUAUACUAGAGAUAGCAUAUCCUUUUUCAUUUUGAACUCUUUUAGCAAACUUUUCAAAAUAAGAAAAGGUUUCAGACUUACUUGCCAGGAAGUAUACCCAAGUAAAUCGAGAGUAGUCAUCCACAAUUACAAGGCAAUACUUCUUACCUCCAAUGCUUUGAGUUCUGGUUGGUCCAAAGAGAUCCAUAUGCAACAAUUGCAGUACACGAUUAGUGGAAACUUUAUUUAUUGGUUUAAAGGAAUUUCUUACCUGCUUUCCCAAUACGCAUGGUGUGCAUAGAUCAGACUUUUGGUAAGAUAAAUUGCGUAAACCACGAACAAGCUUCUUUGCUGAUAUUUUGGCUAUCUGCUUCGUAUUGAUGUGCCCAAGCUUCCUGUGCCAUAAGCUUGCUUCGUCUUGGAUUGAGAUUAAACAUUGUGAUUCAUCUGGUUUCACAUCCAAGAGGUAGAUAUUUCCAUGUCUUCGACCCAUAAACGACUGAGUAGAGUCUUUAUUGGUUCCUGAACAUAUUCCCUCUUGAAAAUUGAUUUUGAAACCAAUAUCACAGAGCUGGCUGAUACUGAGCAGAUUGUAGUUAAGUCCUUUCACUAGGGAAACAUUGCUUAUCGUGAGGUUCCCAAUCUUUACAGUUCCAAAUCCCACAAUCCUUCCUUUGAUGUUUCCUCCAAAAGAGACUUUUCCACCAUUUACUUGAACGAGCUUUAUGAAGCAAUUUGAAUCUCUUGUCAUGUGUCUUGAGCAUCCACUAUCCAGAUACCAUUUUACAUUUUUCUUGAUAGUGACUUGCAUUUAAAAAUGAGACUCAAGCUUUCUUUGGUACCCAUAUUUUCUUGGGUCCACUGGUGUUAGUAUUAAAUGCAGUAUUUGCCCAUACUUUCUUAACAGGUUUCCAGACCAUAGGACACUCUUUUUCAAAAUGAUCUGCACUAUUGCACUUUGAACAUCUGAGAGCAUUUCGACCUACAGGUUUUACAAACACCUUUUUGAAAUGUUUUCUAUAAGUAUCUCUUGAAGGUCUUUGCUUAAUUCUUUCCUUUACUUUAGGAAAAUCAAUUCAAGGAAUUGUUUCUUCUGUCAUUCCUAAACCGGAUUUAUUGAAAUAGGGUCUUUGUGCAAAAAGAAUUUUUUCAAGUUUCUCAGAUCCUAAUGAAAUUUUUUUUGAAACAUUUGAUAAGUCAUUUUUCAGGAAUGCAUUUUCUUUUAAAAGAUUGACUUCACUUUCUUUAAGAGAAGAAACAUUCAUGUCUAAACAUUCCAGCUUUUCUUUCAAAGCAUUCUCCUGUUGUUUUAUAAUAGAGUUUUCUUUUUUAAGUUCGGAAAUCCUCUUGAGAGAUGUUUUAAGACUAGAACACAGCUCAUCAAUGUAUUUAAAAACUUUAACAGGGAUUUUAAAGUUACUUACCUCUAUUUCACUGUCUGAGUCUGAGUCUGUUUUAGAGUUUGAAUCUGAGUUUGAUUAUGCCAUCAGACAUAUGUUGGCAUAAUCAUCAUCGCUUUCUUCACACUCUGUGUCACUCCAAGUUUCUGCUUUAAGAGCCUUUCGAUAUUUUUUUAGCUUUUCCUUUCUUCUUUCUCAAAAGGGGACAGUUGGGUCUGAUGUGUCCAUUUUUCUUACAUUCAAAGCAGACUACAUCUUUGUUUGAUUCAUCAUCAUCAACAGACUUGGUUUGUUGCUUUUGAAAGCUUUGUUUCCUUGGAUUGAAUCUUCUUCCUUUUCUGUUCAGCUUUCUGAAUCUUCUUAUCAUAAGAGCAAGUUCCUCAUCGUCCAUAUCGUCUUCAGAAUCUGUAACAUCAGAAUCAUCAUUGGAUUUUAAUGCAAUGGAUUUCUUACCUUUAGGAUCUUCAUCUUCAUUGAUUCGCUCCACUUCAUAAGACUAAAGAGUUCCAACCAACUCAUCGACAGAUAGUGGCAUGAUUCUUUGUGUCUCUCUUAUUGAAGUCUUUAUAUGAUUCCAAUCCUUGGAGAGUCCUCGCAGUAACUUGUUUACCUUCAUGGGAUUAGAAAUUGGUUGACCUUGAUUUUCAAGACCAUUGACGAUAUCUGUAAAACGGCUAAACAUGUCAGUUAUAGAUUCUCCUAAUUUCAUUUUGAAGGCUUCAUAUUGACCGAGGAGAAUGUUGAUUCUGGUCUCCUUCACUCGAUCUGUUCCUUUAUAGGUGAUAUGUAAUCUAUCCCAGACUUCUUUUGCUGUAACACAAGAAGAUAUUAUGUUAUAUUCAACUGGUGACAAAGCACAAUAUAAAGAAUAAAUUGCUUUUGCAUCGAGUGCUUGUCUCUUGAUUAUCUCUUCUCGAGUCAUUUCUCUUGACUCAACAGUUUCUUUUCCUCUCUCUGAGACAGAUGCAGCUUUAGGAGUAAUUCCUUUUUCUACAACGUCCCAUUCCAGAGGAUCCUUUGAUCGUAGGAAUGCUUUCAUCUUGUUUUUCCAGAUGUUGUAAUCCUUUCCAUCGAAGUAGGGUGGUCUGGUAUUGCUUUGCCCUUCCACCAGCCCUGGAGCUAGCAUACUAGCCAUGGAUCUUUAACUCUGAAGUAAAACACUUCAAACAAAAUGAGUACACGGGCUCUGAUACCAAUUGAUAUAGCUAGUAUAAGUACCUAGAGGGGGGUGAAUAGGUAUAUAAAUAAUUUUCCGAGAUAUGAAAGCAAUACUAGGCAGACAAUAAAAAGAAGACUCCUCUUUUGUUAAUAGAACGAACUGUUGACAAAGUAAAAGGAGUAAGGAAGAGAAAAUUCAACACGAGGUUUAUAGUGGUUCGGCUUGUUCCAAGCCUAUGUCCACUCUUCUUCACUGACAGCCCACUGACUGGAUUUCACUAUGAACAAAAGAGAUGUUACAGCAAUGCUCUUCCUUGAUUCCACAGUAUGGAUAUUCUACCACACUUCCUCAAGGUAUCUCACAAAAUGAACUCUCUCCUGUAUACAAGAUUUUCGUUCAACUAAUGAAUUGACUACGAAUCAAGGAGCUUCAGACUUUGGAAUUCUUAUAUCGCGCACACACUUCGAACAACUGGAACGUCUUCCUUUUAUACUCCUUUAUGCCAUCAUACCCGUUGGCACUUACCAAAGGAAUUCUUUCAAUCUUCCCAUUGGACAGAAUCAAUUUGGAAGAUCAUUCGAGCUAUUAAAGGAACAUGUCGAUAGCCCAUCAAUCCUGCUCGCCCAUACAAUCAGGAUCUUGGUUUCCAUAAGUAGAACCUUCCGAGAAUACUUCGCCAAUCAUCGGAUCCUUAAUCAAUCUUAAAAGGAAUUCGUUAUGUCACAUCCAGCCAAGAGAUCUUCUCCAGUCGAUAAGGCUGAGUCCACAAAGAAUCACACAGAUCUGGAUAGCCUUACUUCAAUGGAUUAAAAACUGUCAAUGAGAAUAGACUUUAAGUCUUGAAUCUGGUAGUCCGGAAGUCUUCAAACUUAGAAUGGAUGAGUCUGCAGAACUUCAGACUAGACUGAUAGAAACGUUUUGUCAGCUUCAAAAUAUUCCAGAAAGAUUUCUCCAACACUCAUAAUGGCCGUAUCGACUACGAAACGCUGACUUCAGUAUGUCCUCAUUUCUGAUCCUCAGUUGAUGAUACUAUAUCCUCAAGUCGUUCUUAGAAAAUAUCAACAUUCCUUGCAGCUGGUCAAACAAGUCAUUGAUCCUCGACAGUGGAUACUUGUUCUUGAUCGUCACUUGAUUGAGUUGACGAUAGUCGAUGCACAGGCGUAACGAAGCAUCUUUCUUCUUCACAAACAAAACUCGUGCUCCUUAACGUGAUGCACUAGGAUGUAUGAAUCCCUUAUUCAACAAUUCCUGCAUUUGCACCUUUAGCUCUUUCAACUCAUACAACGUCAUACGGUAGGAAGCCUUAGAAAUUAGCUCUGUCCUGAGGGCUAGCUCAAUCACAAACUCAAUCUCUCUCUCUCUAGCAACAGACCUGACAAUUCUUUCGGGAACACGUCUGGAAACUCUUGAACCACUGCGAUAUCUACGAUCUUCAGCUCCUCAACUAUCGUAUCCACGACAAUCACCAAAUAACCUUGACAACCCCCAUCUAAUAAAUGGGUUGCCUCAAGCGAAGAGAUUAAGGUAAUCGAGGGUCCUCCUUGACUCCCAAUAAACUCAAAACUUUCACCCGCUAGCGGGUUAAACUGAAUCGCUUUACGAUAGCAGUCCAUUUUAGCGCGUUGUUUGGUGAGUAUGCCAAUUAUUACAUCGAAAUCAUACAUGGCUAGGACUAUCAAAUCUAUCCUCCAUUCCCGCUCACCAAUCACUAACUUGCAACUAGGACAACCCAUCAUAAACAACACCUUAUCCUUUAAUGGUGUAGAUAUGCUAACCACUGACUCCAACAACUUAGGACUCAAUCCUACCAGCUUAACAAAUUACUCAACUAUAAACGAAUGAGUUGUGUCACGUCCCGAUCCUCGAACGUGUGCCCAUCCCUCACAUGGUCGAUUAAUAGCGAUGUUCCAGGACGCAUCGCUGACCCAUUUCUUUUUAUACGCAUGAGGAAGCAUAAGAUAAUCCCUAGACAAUAAAACAUUUGGAUAGAAAAGUAGGAUUAAAAACUUGAAAUUGGAAACACCCACACACUUAUAUACAUUGCAAUUCAUUAUGCAAAUAUAUACAAGAUCAACUACUAAGUCCGGUCCUACUCAAGCUUGCUCAACAAUGAAGUCUAAAGAUAGGGGUGAGGUUUCAGUCCUUUGCUGAGUCCUCAUCUGGGUUCUUCUCCUGCUCAACGAACUCUCUUCCUUCCACGCUCCCGCUGGAUAGGCUCUAGCAUACUCAGGUGAUACUGGGUCUUCAAGAUCGGGAGUCACCGGGUCAAUCACCUCUCCACCUCUGGGUUCUGCAAUGCUCUCUCCAUACACUACUUCCAAAGCAUACUUAGGCACCUCAAAUUCCGGUAUCAGGCCCACCCUUCGCCUAUUGCUAUAGUAUCGAUACCAUGCCUGGUAUUGAUGGGGCACCUUAUGGGGUUUACCCAUCUCAACCUAGACAAUGGAUUUCACCAUUACGUACUCCAAUCCUUCCACGUGCCUUGGCAUUGGCACAUGGAGCUUCUCUUUGGUGAUUUCCUCCGGUAAACCAAAACCCAUGGGAGGAGGUAGAGGUACUGCCAUUUACGGGCCUGAAAUGGUUAUUCAAUAACCAAUGAGACAACGUCUCAGCGAGUUCUACCCUCUAAGACUCGAUUAGUAAACCAAUACGCUAUCCGGGCCACUUAUACACGCACGGGUCAAAGGACUUACCUUGGCCUUAGAUUCCAUAUACAAAUCAGCACAGUUCAAUAGGCACCCAAUCAUAAUAUCACAGAUCGAUAUCUCGAUCAAUCGACCUAAUCGAUUACAUGUCAAUCGGACCAUUCACCAGUCGUUUCCAUCCAUACUAUGCAAUUUAUAAGAUAGUAUACCUAGUCGCCAAGCCACGUGCAUUCUCUAAGGUAUCAUAUAUGCCAAGGCGAUGUACUUAAUCACAGAGCCACGUGCAUUCUCUAAGGUGCCAUAUCACCAAGGCGACGUACUAAUCACUGAGCCCCGUGCAUUCUCUAAGGCGACUUAUACGCCAAGGCGAUGUACUAAUUAUCAAGCCACGUGGAUUCUCUAAGGUGAUAUACCAAAUUACUGAGCUACGUCACACAGCAUUUCUUCUCAUCUUUUAUCAUACCUGAUAAAAUAUCGUACGUGGGCACACGGUUGGCCUUAGGCAAAAAUAUAAUAUUUUCAUUUCCAUAACUUCCACAUUUUCUGCAAUCUACUAAAACAUUUUUGGCAUUAUCAACCGAUGCCUGGUUAAUUUUUCAGUUAAUAACCAACAUUAUUCGAUUUAGGAAAUACAUCAUGAAUUCACAAAUAAUUCAUUUCAGCACAAAAUAAAGCUCAAUUAAAUAAACAGACUACGCCACGACAAUUAGCAUAAAAUUAUGAUCGUUGACUAUCCCUGCCUAAUUUUCGAAAAUUAAAUAAUUAAAUAAUUAAUUUCGAAAAUUAAUAAAUAAAUACUAAAAAUCCAAUUUAUACUCGUAAUGCCUAAUUGGACGCCAGAACAGAUCGGGAAAAAAUCCUGAGAUACAUUCAAUAAAUACAAGUACAUCUCUACUUGCUAAUUACACGAAUCAAACACCUAACAUGCAUCAUUAAGUCACUAAUUAAAUUAUUCUAAACUAAUCUAACCACCUAAUCAUGCUUAAUUAACGCUAAUCAACCACUAAGCAUCAUUAGCAAUUAAACAAUGAUUAUUGAGCUAAACUCACCCGUUUAACAAUCCGUUCGGAUUGAAACGUCGGGAACGUCCCAAUGGACGUUUAACUCCAAAGCGGGCCUCGGGUUUGGGGCCCGUAAACACCUCAAAGUGGCCUUAGAACCUUGCUGGAAACCCACUAGCUGAGUUGUUGGUCUUGGCGGCGAAGGGCAGCUCCGGUUGAGUUCCUCAGGUCACAGCACAGUGGCUGGACGGCGAGGGGAGGUGAGUAAGGUGGACGGCGUGCGUGGCUUGGCGCGGGUGGAGGCGGAGCGGCAACCAAUGGUGGCACGGCUACUGGCGGCUUAGCAUGCAAUGGCUGGACGACGUGGCUGCUCCUUCCGCUGGCUUCUGCUAGCGUCUUCCUUGCUGGUUGGGGGUGUUGCACGAAGCAAGAGGGAGAGGAGAGAGAUAUGGACAGUGGAGUGAGUGAGAGAGAGAGAGAGGAUAAAGGAGAGAUGGAAGGUCCCUUGGCCAAUAUUUUCCACACCCUUGUCCCCUACAAGCUUGUCCACCAAGCCAGCCCUCCAUGGCUGUCAAUUGGCCACCAAGGCACUCCCCCACAACUUGUCAAAUGGUCCAAAAAUGCUAGGGGGAAUGGGGCACACGAAUUUGACAUCAUUUGGCUUUAAUUGGAUUCCUCAACUUACUUAAUUUAAUCUCAAUUGGCCAUAGUAAAUUCAAUUGAUGCCUCAUUGAUCCUCUUAGAAUUUUUCCUCACCCACAUAUCCAUCUUGCUUCCCAUUUUUGCAACAAAAAUUAAUCCCCAGCCUUUUCUGCACAAAACAGUCAUAAAUUAACUUUUUCCCAAAAAACAUCGGUUGUCAGAAAAAUCUUCUGAGACUGAGUCGUGAAUCCUAGAAUUUAUUGUGACAUGACAGAAUCUUCAAUUUCUGAAAUUGGACUUGAAUUGGUAGUUAAUUUCCAUUCGGCGCGUUUUUAGCAUGAUCUAGACUACUUAGUAGUUUUCAUAACUUUUUAGAGCAAAUGACCCCUGGUCGAUUUUCUUUAAGCCAUUAUGAAUCCACUCAACUCAAUGGCAACUCUCAAUUGUUGUGAAAAUCUCGAGGAUUCAAUUAUCGACACAGAGUACCAAAACGACACUAAAAUCAGAUUAGUACUGGUUGACGAGAAUUUUCCAAUUUAGUGGAGUCACCCAUGAUCAGCCACACAUCUUAGUCGAACAGACCUACCUCUGAUCUCAAAUCGAUUUUUAACUGUGCCGUAAUGACCUCUAAAGAUAAGCACGGUCGAAAAGCCGAUUCCUAGUUGAAUUCUCAAGUCUAUUUGCUUUAAAGUCCUUAAUAGCUUCCCCAGACAGUCAAGUUAUCUCGAGAGUGAUCAGCUCUGAGAACAAUCCUAUAGGCACGUCAAUGAAAUGCUCGAUUAAUUCAGUAGAAAAUAGGGUUGGAAAUAUGGGAUGUCACAAGUUGCACCAGGGUCAAAUAAAGCAUAAGUAGCGUUGUUGUUCAAUGAGACCGUACCUGUGAUCACAUCAGGAGAGUCCUCUGCUUGUCCUCUGGUGAUGGCGUAUAGCCUUCCCUGUGCUGGAGGCCUAUUCUAUCCACCCUAUUAUGCAAUUUGUGGCGCGAACCCUCUAUUCUAACCUAUCGGUGGCGACGGCAGCAACUAUUAUGGUCCCAUCUGUCUUCUGAGACAAUCUCUAACUUAGUGGCCUUGCUGGCCACACCCAUAACAAGCACCCGGCCUAGAAUGGCACGGGGCCGAUCCAUGUCGCCUUCAACAGAAGCAACACACGUCCAUCUGACUCGGCGCUAACUUACCUACUCCACCUUUCCUGUUAGGUGGGACAGGGAAUCUUCCUCCUGUCAUAGGUCUCUUCUCAAACCUAUUUCCAUCUCUAUUUGAACUAAACCGCGACCCAGAUGUAGCGGCUUAUUCGUUCAGAUUCCUUUCUAUUAGCUAGGCUCGACCGUACAGCUCAUUGUAAUCCUUCAGGUCGAAUGGCACCAGCGGAUUCUUCAGCUCUAGUCAAAGGCUAUUUCUGAACCUCUAAGCUCUAUCUUCCAGAUCCUUCACCAGUCUAGGAGCGUAUUGCGAUAGCUCCGCAAACUUAGCUUCAUACUGAUCCACUAUUAGCAUGCCUUGACGGAGGUGUUGGGAUUCCUCCAUCUUCUACUCUCGGGCACUAUUAGAAAGAUACUUGCUAGUGAAGGCUCUCAGGAGGGCGUUCUACACCGGAACCUCACCUUCAGGGACUACUCUGGCUCUAGUGGCCCUCUACUAGGUACUCGAAUUACCCUGCAGUUGAUACACUGCUAGGUACUAGUGCUGGCCUGAGCCAAUGCUUAACCACAACCACCUCGAGUACCGACUCUUGUCGGCAUCCUACCCCGAGUUAUUGGUCCCAUGGUCCUCUUCCUAGGAGUCAUCUGCUCCUAAUCACUCAUUAUGCAAGUUCUUUACAGAAACCUGAUUUCCAAUUCUACACAGAAUUAGAAGCUGAGCGAUCACACCAAACAAGCUACUAAACAACUAUCACUCAUAUGCAUCAGCAUAAAAUAAAAGCCGUUCCUACGAACUAUCCCAUGAACCCUCGCACCUUAUCACUCCAACUAUCGACCAGCUCUGGUACCACUCCGGGCGGGGAUGUCACACCCCGGAGCUUCGAGCGCACACACAUCUCUCGUUGGUCAAUGAAAUUGCGACGUCCCAGGACGCGUCGCCAACCCAUUUAUUUUAUUGUACAUACGGAAACGAAUAAAACAAACCCCUGAUAGCAAAUAGCAUGAGAUGGAAAAGCAAAAUAACAAAUUCACAACCAAAACACACUUUUAUACACAAACUAAGUUAUAUACAAAACUAGUCUGUCUACCAAAAAGAUCAUCCCUCAAAAAGGAAACUAUCCUACAGUCCACUAGUCGGAUGCGUUUACCGAUCCUUCGGACUCCACAAGCUUCGAGGGUGUCGAGUCCACCACAGCACCAUCAAGAGGGUCGGUUGUACCCUCACCAAAAGCGGCGUCGACUACCACAGUGGGGACCUCAAAUCCCUGGAGGGGACCAACUCUGUAUCCAUUGAGCCCGCGGCAAAACCAUGCCCUAAAUCGAUGAGGUACCCUUUGAGGUAGGCCCUCAUCGACCUAGACAGUGGUCACUACGAGCUCAUAGACCUAGACCCCGUGGCCUCUGGGAACAGGGUAGUUAGUAACUAGCUCGGUAACCUUCCGAGGCUACCCAUAGCGUACCGGUGGGGCCGCCAUCUAAGGACCUAAAAAGAAUUGAGCCCACAAUGAGAUGAGAAAAUGUCUCAACAAGUUCAACCCCUAAACUCUAACUAUAAAUGAAAUACGCCUAGCCACACAAUCACACAACCAUAGAGACUCACCUUGUCUCAGAUUCUCCUUGCAAAUUAGCACAGUUCAAAUACACAAUCAUAUGCAGUAAUCAAACUCAAUCAAUUGGAACGCCACCACUUUCAUCUCAAUAAACACAAGGGUCCCGAUUAUAAAGCCAAAUCGUUAUGACACGUCCCAUACCGUGCCACACAAUUUUGUCCUAUAAUCAGGCGUGUCAAAUCAAUCAAUCAUGUUUCUCAAUUGAUUACAACCCAAUUGCCACGGCCGACUCAACAGUUAGUGGUCUUUCGGCGUAGCCAGGCGUCGUCUCGCACCAUCGACCAUGGCAACGUCUACAUCUAGACGGAAUUCCACAUAGGAGCAUUGGUCUAGCCUCCACUGCGACUGACAUCCGUUGACCUAGGGCAUUCCCGAAGGAGCAUCGCCCGGUCCCAAAGGCUCGUGAUGGGUUCUCAUAUAAUUCAUGCACCCAUCUAAUCCUAGCCAAGACAUCGUGCUUUGCAUUCAAAUGUCCUAAUUAAAAUAAUGUACUUAGCAUAUUUUCUUCCUAUUAAAAACACACGGUAAAAUAAACGUGCGUGGUUACACAGUCAAUUUGAACCAAAAAAACUUAUACCCUUCUUUUUAAAAUCCCAUUAUUUGGUAUAGUAUUUAAAAUUAUUUUCGGUGUCAAAAUCCGACACUCGGAAUUUUAUAAUUAAAUAUCGAAAUUUCACAAUUUUUGAAUAAAUAAUCAAAUUUCCAAUCACCACUCAAUUUGCAUAAAUUAACACUCAAUUGCAUAAACUAAGCACGCCAUUGCAAUUAGCACGAAAUUCCAGUCACCGGCUAUCCCAGUGUAAUUUCCAAAAAAUAUUAAAUAAUUAAAUAAAUUGGAAAAAAAAUUAAUUAAACCAAUUGAAAUACCAUAAAUACCAACUUAGGCCGAAAAUACUAAUCUAACCACCUGAACGGGCCUAGAAAAUUUUCGAACCUAACUAGAUAAAUAGUACAAUCUAUCUAGUCUCUAAUUAGUAUAUUCUAACCACCUAACAUGUAUAAUUGAACAAUUAAAUCACUAAUCUAAACUAACUAACCACAUAAUCCUUAAUUUGCUUAAACUAAUUAUCCACUAAGCAUCAUUAACUCCAUAAGCAGAGUUUAACAAGUAAACACACCGGUUUAGCGGGCUAGUGAGUCCACGACGUCGAUGACGCAGAGGUGAGCGAUACUGGAGCCUGCGGCGACACCAAUGGAGGUCCGGACGGGCCUUAAAACGGGCCACAAGCUCUUAGCUAGGGGCUAAGCUUCAGCCACUGCUCGGGGCUACUGGGCUGGAUCGAAGGGGCUAAAACGGCACGAGAUGGGAGGCGGUGGCUACAGUGACUCUAGGUGGUGAUUCCGGCUGACUAGACAGCAACGAACAGCGACUGGACGGCAACCAGGAGGUCUCAACAAUGGCCAGGACACGCGGGGGAUGGCGAACGAGUGGGACGUGAGCUGGGCAGACGGACGGCUCACAGGCGGCGUGCAAGCUCGCGACAAGCAAACGGGUGGCAAGGGGGGCUUUGGCGGCGAUCGACAAGCUAGGGGGAGGGCUUGCCGGUUUCUCUAGUUUUUCUCAAGCUCUAAAACUCUCAACAAUGGAUAAAGUGGGCUCAAGGAGGGAGAUGAAGAUAGCUGUAGCAAGAAGGGGACCCAAUGGCCUCAAAUAUCCAACAAAAUGCUCAUUGCUUGGUCCCCACUUGAUCAGCCCUAUCCUCAGCCAUUUUUCCUUACUCAAACUUCCCCUAGAAGCUUCUCUAAAUGGUUCAAAUGUUGCUGCACCCCCUUGGCUACGAAUUUGGACAAUUCCCUCCAAAUUUCAUUCGAUUCCCAUCCAAUUGAGCUCAAAUUGGAGUCCAAAAAUUCAGUCAAUGUGCCAUCGUCCAUCUCAUGAUUUUUCCUCAUCAAUUGAACCAACUUAAUGGUCAAAAAUGCGACAAAAAAGGCCCUCUAAUUUUCUUGGUCCAAAAUAGCCUUACUUUGAUUUUUUGCCAAAAUCUCGAGUUUGCAGAAAAAUCUUCAAAUGAUGAGUCAAUGUUCCUAAAAUGAAUUGUGAAUGACAGAACUUUCAAUUUCUUAAAUUGGGUUUAAAUUCACCACUAAUUUAAACCAGACACAAUUUUAACAUGAUCUAGCCUACCGAGUAGCUCUUAAAAUUUUUUAGUGCAAUUGACCUGUGAUUGAUUAUUUUCGAGCCACAUUGUGCAUCUUCGACACAUUGACGACUCUCGGUUAUCGUGAAAAUCUCAAGGUUUCAAAUAUGGGCAUAGGAUACAGAAAUAAUAGAAAAAUUGGUCUAGUGCUGUUGACAGAAAUUUUGCAAUCCGGUGGAAUCGCCUACACACUAAUUACAUACCUCUAUCGAAUCGACCUAUCUCCGGUCUCUGAUCGAUUUUGAUAGUGUCGUAUUGACCCUUGCAAAUUAGCAUGGUCGAGUAGUUGAUUUCUGGUCGAAUUCUCAAGUUUAUUGCGUCAAAAUCCUUAACUGCUUCACCAGAUAGACUAGUUAUCUCGUGAGUAAUCAGCUCAGAGAAUAGAACUAUGGGUGCGUCGAUGAAAAGCCAAACUUAUUCAAUUGAAAAUAGAAUUGGAAUUUCGGGAUGUCACAGGACUCCCUCACAAGAGCGAAGGUAGGGUGACUGGAUGUAACACUCACCUCCAUGAUGAACUUUCUGAUGUAUCCAAUGCCUCUUAUCACCAGCACUUUGCUCUUCUCGGCCAUCUCAGAGGGUUCUUUUACGGCGGAGGUGCGAUUCUUCCCGGCAAACUUUCCCUGUCUUGUGCUGCAACUGUUGUUGGCUGUUGGCACGCAUUGAGAUGAAUCGUCCUUUUAUUUUGGUUCCAAAAGAGUAUAAUUGUCUUUUCGGUGAAUUGACUUUCCCACCCCCAUCACCCGUCGCCCGGAAAAUGAGUACACAAAAAAGUGGUCUACGAAAGAGAAGAAAUUUACGGUGGAGAAUGAGUACGUGACGUGAAUUUUUUUUAAAUAACAACUUGACUUACUAAAAGUUGUCUAAAUUUGAUCAAGAAAAUUGAUUAUUGUGUCGACCAAACCUCCAUUGAGAUAGAAAAGAAAUCAAUUGUUCUGAUUUAUGAUUGGCUGCGUGUUCUUUACAAAAUUCAAAAAUGAUAACUCUCCUGUUAAAAACAGAUGUUGUUGACUGUUACUUUCUGACAAAAUAAGCUAUUUAAUCUUUUUUUCAUUAGAUAUUCCUGACUUAUGAUGAGUUUUGGAAAACCGAACCAAACACACACUUAGUUAGACAAUAAUCCACAAUAUAUCAAGUUUUGGAAUAAGAAUUUGGCUCAAGAUUUAUCCAGAUUCAUCGGGCAUGCUUCUUUUUCUUCCCGUUUGUUCCCUCGCAGCCUCUUAGAAUCCCCCAAAACAUUAACGAUGAUUCAAAAUUACGACAAGUUUGACAGUCGGUUUACGCCUAUUUUAACUUGUUAUUCUUUUAGACGAGAAAGAUAACAUGACAUACAAAAAUAGAGAAACCCGUGUCUUUGUGUUAGCUUCGAUUAGCCCAUGAACCCAUAUCAAACUCCAAAACAGAAGCAACUUCUCCAAGCACCGCAGAGACGCGCCACAUUGAACAUUCAUACUUUAUAGUGUCCUCAGACUUGGGGGUUGUACAUGCCAUGUGAUGAUCAGCAGAAGCGACAUUUCACACUAGGAUCCUGAGAAGCAGCAUCCUAUAUUAUUUAUUACCGCACAGUGAUGUGAGAAAUUUACAAGCAUGUUCGGUUUCGAUAAUCAAACAAAUUGAUCGAGGUACUGAUCCACGGUCAUGUAUUUGACAUCGGGGUAGAGCUCUGAAGCUUCCACUCCGAAUGAUGGCUCAAUCUCGAAGUUCGCUUGGUCUCCUUUCACGAAGACAGAAUGGGAUAAUGCCAAUAUCAUGUUGUGUGGAACCGCCGCC
rnacentral:lncRNA from 1 species